AGAAUUAGGGCUGGAAGGGACCUCCAGAGCUCAUCUGACCCAAACCCUUGCCUGAAGCAGAAUCAUCUCUAUCCAAGCCAUCCCCUAUAAACCAUAAUCUAAACACUACAUAAGACUACCACCAGAUCUUACACAAGACAAAC